AUUGAACGCUGGCGGCAUGCCUAACACAUGCAAGUCGAACGAGUGGCGGACGGGUGAGUAAUGUCUGGGAACCUGCCCGAUGGAGGGGGAUAACUACUGGAAACGGUAGCUAAUACCGCAUACCAUCGGAUGUGCCCAGAUGGGAUUAGCUAGUAGGUGGGGUAAAGGCUCACCUAGGCGACGAUCCCUAGCUGGUCUGAGAGGAUGACCAGCCACACUGGAACUGAGACACGGCCCAGACUCCUACGGGAGGCAGCAGUGGGGAAUAUUGCACAAUGGGCGCAAGCCUGAUGCAGCCAUGCCGCGUGUAUGAUGAAGGCCUUCGGGUUGUAAAGUACUUUCAGCGGGGAGGCGGUACCCGCAGAAUAAGCACCGGCUAACUACGUGCCAGCAGCCGCGGUAAUAC
rnacentral:rRNA from 1 species